GGUUAAGCGACUAAGCGUACACGGUGGAUGCCCUGGCAGUCAGAGGCGAUGAAGGACGUGCUAAUCUGCGAAAAGCGUCGGUAAGGUGAUAUGAACCGUUACAGCCGGCGAUGUCCGAAUGGGGAAACCCAGUGCAAUUCGUUGCACUAUCGUUUGAUGAAUACAUAGUCAAACGAGGCGAACCGGGGGAACUGAAACAUCUAAGUACCCCGAGGAAAAGAAAUCAACCGAGAUUCCCCCAGUAGCGGCGAGCGAACGGGGAGCAGCCCGGAGUCUGAAUCAGCUUGUGUGUUAGUGGAAGCGUCUGGAAAGUCGCAGGGUACAGGGUGAUACUCCCGUACACUAAAACGCACAGGUUGUGAACUCGAAGAGUAGGGCGGGACACGUGGUAUCCUGUCUGAAUAUGGGGGGACCAUCCUCCAAGGCUAAAUACUCCUGACUGACCGAUAGUGAACCAGUACCGUGAGGGAAAGGCGAAAAGAACCCCGGCGAGGGGAGUGAAAAAGAACCUGAAACCGUGUACGUACAAGCAGUAGGAGCCCACUAGUUGGGUGACUGCGUACCUUUUGUAUAAUGGGUCAGCGACUUAUAUUCUGUAGCAAGGUUAACCGUAUAGGGGAGCCGCAGGGAAACCGAGUCUUAACUGGGCGUUAAGUUGCAGGGUAUAGACCCGAAACCCGGUGAUCUAGCCAUGGGCAGGUUGAAGGUUGGGUAACACUAACUGGAGGACCGAACCGACUAAUGUUGAAAAAUUAGCGGAUGACUUGUGGCUGGGGGUGAAAGGCCAAUCAAACCGGGAGAUAGCUGGUUCUCCCCGAAAGCUAUUUAGGUAGCGCCUCGUGAAUUCAUCUUCGGGGGUAGAGCACUGUUUCGGCUAGGGGGUCAUCCCGACUUACCAACCCGAUGCAAACUACGAAUACCGAAGAAUGUUAUCACGGGAGACACACGGCGGGUGCUAACGUCCGUCGUGAAGAGGGAAACAACCCAGACCGCCAGCUAAGGUCCCAAAGUCAUGGUUAAGUGGGAAACGAUGUGGGAAGGCCCAGACAGCCAGGAUGUUGGCUUAGAAGCAGCCAUCAUUUAAAGAAAGCGUAAUAGCUCACUGGUCGAGUCGGCCUGCGCGGAAGAUGUAACGGGGCUAAACCAUGCACCGAAGCUGCGGCAGCGACACUAUGUGUUGUUGGGUAGGGGAGCGUUCUGUAAGCCGUUGAAGGUGGCCUGUGAGGGUUGCUGGAGGUAUCAGAAGUGCGAAUGCUGACAUAAGUAACGAUAAUGCGGGUGAAAAACCCGCACGCCGGAAGACCAAGGGUUCCUGUCCAACGUUAAUCGGGGCAGGGUGAGUCGACCCCUAAGGCGAGGCCGAAAGGCGUAGUCGAUGGGAAACAGGUUAAUAUUCCUGUACUCGGUGUUACUGCGAAGGGGGGACGGAGAAGGCUAUGUUGGCCGGGCGACGGUUGUCCCGGUUUAAGCAUGUAGGCGGAUGUUCCAGGUAAAUCCGGAACGUUACUAACGCUGAGGUGUGAUGACGAGGCACUACGGUGCUGAAGUGACAAAUGCCCUGCUUCCAGGAAAAGCCUCUAAGCAUCAGGUAACAUCAAAUCGUACCCCAAACCGACACAGGUGGUCAGGUAGAGAAUACCAAGGCGCUUGAGAGAACUCGGGUGAAGGAACUAGGCAAAAUGGUGCCGUAACUUCGGGAGAAGGCACGCUGAUGGUAGGUGAAGUGACUUGCUCAUGGAGCUGAAAUCAGUCGAAGAUACCAGCUGGCUGCAACUGUUUAUUAAAAACACAGCACUGUGCAAACACGAAAGUGGACGUAUACGGUGUGACGCCUGCCCGGUGCCGGAAGGUUAAUUGAUGGGGUUAUCCGUAAGGAGAAGCUCUUGAUCGAAGCCCCGGUAAACGGCGGCCGUAACUAUAACGGUCCUAAGGUAGCGAAAUUCCUUGUCGGGUAAGUUCCGACCUGCACGAAUGGCGUAAUGAUGGCCAGGCUGUCUCCACCCGAGACUCAGUGAAAUUGAACUCGCUGUGAAGAUGCAGUGUACCCGCGGCAAGACGGAAAGACCCCGUGAACCUUUACUAUAGCUUGACACUGAACACUGGUCCUUGAUGUGUAGGAUAGGUGGGAGGCUUUGAAGUGUGGACGCCAGUCUGCAUGGAGCCAUCCUUGAAAUACCACCCUUUAAUGGCUGGUGUUCUAACGUGGGCCCCUGAUCGGGGUUGCGGACAGUGUCUGGUGGGUAGUUUGACUGGGGCGGUCUCCUCCUAAAGAGUAACGGAGGAGCACGAAGGUCAGCUAAUCCUGGUCGGACAUCAGGAGGUUAGUGCAAUGGCAUAAGCUGGCUUGACUGCGAGCGUGACGGCGCGAGCAGGUGCGAAAGCAGGUCAUAGUGAUCCGGUGGUUCUGAAUGGAAGGGCCAUCGCUCAACGGAUAAAAGGUACUCCGGGGAUAACAGGCUGAUACCGCCCAAGAGUUCAUAUCGACGGCGGUGUUUGGCACCUCGAUGUCGGCUCAUCACAUCCUGGGGCUGAAGUAGGUCCCAAGGGUAUGGCUGUUCGCCAUUUAAAGUGGUACGCGAGCUGGGUUUAGAACGUCGUGAGACAGUUCGGUCCCUAUCUGCCGUGGGCGCUGGAGAAUUGAGGGGGGCUGCUCCUAGUACGAGAGGACCGGAGUGGACGCAUCACUGGUGUUCGGGUUGUCAUGCCAAUGGCAUUGCCCGGUAGCUAAAUGCGGAAGAGAUAAGUGCUGAAAGCAUCUAAGCACGAAACUUGCCCCGAGAUGAGUUCUCCCUGACCCUUUAAGGGUCCUGAAGGAACGUUGAAGACGACGACGUUGAUAGGCCGGGUGUGUAAGCGCAGCGAUGCGUUGAGCUAACCGGUACUAAUGAACCGUGAGGCUUAACCUU
rnacentral:rRNA from 1 species